GAUGAACGCUGGCGGCGUGCCUAAUACAUGCAAGUCGAGCGAACGGACGAGAAGCUUGCUUCUCUGAUGUUAGCGGCGGACGGGUGAGUAACACGUGGAUAACCUACCUAUAAGACUGGGAUAAUUUCGGGAAACCGGAGCUAAUACCGGAUAAUAUUUUGAACAGCAUGGUUCAAAAGUGAAAGACGGUCUUGCUGUCACUUAUAGAUGGAUCCGCGCUGCAUUAGCUAGUUGGUAAGGUAACGGCUUACCAAGGCAACGAUGCAUAGCCGACCUGAGAGGGUGAUCGGCCACACUGGAACUGAGACACGGUCCAGACUCCUACGGGAGGCAGCAGUAGGGAAUCUUCCGCAAUGGGCGAAAGCCUGACGGAGCAACGCCGCGUGAGUGAUGAAGGUCUUCGGAUCGUAAAACUCUGUUAUUAGGGAAGAACAUAUGUGUAAGUAACUGUGCACAUCUUGACGGUACCUAAUCAGAAAGCCACGGCUAACUACGUG
rnacentral:rRNA from 1 species